rnacentral:rRNA from 1 species
CUACGGGAUGCUGCAGUGGGGAAUAUUGCACAAUGGGCGCAAGCCUGAUGCAGCCAUGCCGCGUGUAUGAAGAAGGCCUUCGGGUUGUAAAGUACUUUCAGCAGUGAGGAAGGGGGUAUCGUUAAUAUCGUUAUUCUUUGACGUUAGCUGCAGAAGAAGCACCGGCUAACUCCGUGCCAGCAGCCGCGGUAAUACGGAGGGUGCGAGCGUUAAUCGGAAUUACUGGGCGUAAAGCGCAUGCAGGUGGUCUGUUAAGUCAGAUGUGAAAGCCCCGGGCUCAACCUGGGAAUAGCAUUUGAAACUGGCAGGCUAGAGUACUGUAGAGGGGGGUAGAAUUUCAGGUGUAGCGGUGAAAUGCGUAGAGAUCUGAAGGAAUACCGGUGGCGAAGGCGGCCCCCUGGACAGAUACUGACACUCAGAUGCGAAAGCGUGGGGAGCAAACAGGAUUAGAUACCCGUGUAGUC